rnacentral:lncRNA from 10 species
UCAUCUCCUACCUGCCUGACUAGGCCCUAAUCCCCAAAAUGCAGAUCUCUCUCACAUUCUGGCCUCAGCUCCGUCGUUGUCAUUAGUGCUGUUUGCCAUCUGCCCCCGCUUUUGUGCAUAUGGUGGGGUUGCAGCCCCUGUGGUUGUAGGCCCCUUAGAACUUCCACUGCCAGUGUGAGCCCCUCAACAGCUCUCUUAUCCCUGGCAAGGUGCCUGGAAACAUUUGAGAUCUCUGUUCAUCGGUACGGGUCCGAGAGUGGUCACAUUGAAGAGAAUCCCCCCUUCCCCUGCCAGCCUGAGGUGGGCCUGCAGCAUGAGAAAGCUUUGUUGUGUGAGACGUCUGCGCUUCAUAGUUGUGUGGCUGGAGCAUAACGUGGCCUAAUAGAGAAGCUGGCCGCUAGGAGAGGGGUGCUGUGCUAAUAAAACGUGCGACCUGCCAGGAUUUGGAAUGUGGGCAGGCUGUUAGGUGGGGCAAAACAUUUGGUAAAGCUCAACUGGGAUGACUCAUGAGGCAGACCGUGAGCUAAGUGUGCGUAUCUAGUGGAGAGGUUGGGAAACAACACUGGCCUGAGUAUCGGCCGGAGGCUGCAUUGGACAAGGGACUGCAGGGAAGCGACGAGCUAAAAAAAAAUUCUGCACUUGCAAGCUGGGUGGAAGAGGAACAAAGGUCAGGAACACAAGGACUUAGGGCUGAAAGAGCCCUCCUGUGUACCCCACGGGCGGGCACAGAGCCAAGACAGAUUGUGGUGAGGGUGCCAUCCUGGAUCCAGAUGCCCUCCUGCCCCCAGGGUCAUGACGCUGGGCACUGCUGCUGAGUUUCCCAAAGCCAGGUGUCAGGCACAGGUGCGCAGCUCAGCAGCGUCCGGAGGUGGCGCUGUGGGCGUGGCUGUAGGCACGUGGAGUGGAGUCACCCGCAGACCACAGAGUCAUUUCGAGAGCUGAAUUGCAAAAGAAAGAAGAGCCCAGGAUGAAAGUCUGUGACUGCUGGGACUUGAAAACAACCUUGGCGGGGAAGAGGCUGAGAAAGCAGUUCUGCCACUGAGCAGGGCUCCUUUGAGGACACCAUCAAGCAUGGUUAAGAAACAGGAAAGGGGUCCUCCCAAGGCUGGAGCCCCAGGCCACAGAGAACAUGACUUGGGGGAGUGGGGUGUCCACUCCCAGGCAGGGGCCCUAGCUGUGCCUGCCUGGCAAGACUUUAGAUGGCCAUGCAGCAGGGGCUGCCAGGUGCCCUCCAUACCCGCUUUCACAGGGGUUACUGCAGUCAUCCUAUCCCUGGGUGUGAGGGGCAGUGGCAGUCUUCUAGUUCCUAGGUCUCUGGAUGGGGUGGCGCCUCCCCCAGACCUGAUGUGAAGAAGGUACAUGAAGCAACACAUGUAGAGACGGCCCCAGACCCUAGACCAGAGUUGCCACCGCCACUGGAGGGGACUCAUAUGUCCUUGGGAGGGGAGGGGAGGGGCGGGGCAUCCAGAACAGGAAGGAGGGUGAGUGGGACAUUUGGUGACUGGGGACUGGACAGUGAUGGUAUCAGGGUUAUUUGCCCAGCACCUCCUGCCCUCCCCACUUCCUGGCUGCCAUGUGUGGAGUGGGGCUGUGACUGGGCCUGGCCAGCGGGUUGGGAGAAGAGACGUGCUGCUUCUGGGCCACGGCAUGUUGGCCAGGUGUGCGUGGCACUGAGAUGGUGGCGCCACAUCCUUGGGGACUGUGAAGGGCAGCGACACCUAUCGCCUGGGAAAAUGGAAAUCUCAGUUCUCCAAAACAAAACAUGCCUGUCACCUUGUACCCAUCUUGGGAAAGGAUCACCACUGAGGCCGGGAUUUGGCUUAAGCCACAGGUGAAGGCCCAGAGUGAAGGUGACACAUGGCUUUCCUGUGACAUCCAGAGGCUACUCAGGCCCAGGGGGUCCAGCCAAGGGGCUGGGCAGGAUUCGGGGAGCCUGCUCUCGGGCUUAUGUAUCAGAGGAGGGGGCCACACCCAGCUCCUGACCAGCUCCAGGCCCCAAGUCCCGGCAGGCUCUGGCCGCCUCUCCCA